ACAAUUUGACAGUGCAAUGGGACUAACACAAGAUGGUGCUGCCCAGGGAUUACAUCAAAAUGGUGGCUUCUGCAGGAGAAGGGGAUAAAGUGCAUUUUCCAUGAUAGCUGAAGACCGGUGUGGAGAGGAAACAAUGGGAGAACUGAAAUCUCAUGGUGUAAACACCGGAAAUGGAGCUUAUAAAAGGUGCACCACACCAAGACAAAUCCUUUUAUCUCUCUUGUUACAUGUAGAACACUCACCAGAAAGCUGCUGCUAAGACAUCGCUACCGGAACUGAUCCUCAUGUGACCACUAGGACCCCGGAAGAAGAUGCUUGAGCUGGUGCAGCCGCAGGGAGAAUAGACUGCUGCUGCUGUGAUGAAAUAUCCUCUUUCAAUAAAGGCUCAAUGGCCCCUGCUGCUAUUAUUGUUAUUCACAACCUUGCUGAUUUCAUUGUUUUCUUUCAGCAAU